rnacentral:rRNA from 1 species
UACGUAGGGGGCUAGCGUUGUCCGGAAUUAUUGGGCGUAAAGAGCUCGUAGGCGGUUUGUCGCGUCUGCCGUGAAAGUCCGGGGGCUCAACUCCGGAUCUGCGGUGGGUACGGGGCAGACUAGAGUGAUGUAGGGGGAGACUGGAAUUCCUGGUGUAGCGGUGAAAUGCGCAGAUAUCAGGAGGAACACCGAUGGCGAAGGCAGGUCUCUGGGCAUUAACUGACGCUGAGGAGCGAAAAGCAUGGGGGAGCGAACAGG